CAGCGCUGACUGUCACCUCGUCUCGUUUGUUUGUUACUGUCAAAGGCAGCUUCAGACCAUACGUGGAUAUUUACACUUCACAACUACCUACAUUGCAUCUUAUGAAUUUACCUUAUCUGGCUGGAGAGCCUUGCAGUGUCUGGACCGCUGACAAGCACUUCCAUUAUUAUCCAUGCCGACGCUGCUGCCAACAUUUUGAAGUAAGGAGAGCUAGUCUGUUGAGCCCCUCUUCCCUGUCACACCUUUAACGCAUCUCUCAAUAUGCCAUCAAACGUGGGUGUUAUAAGAAUAGCACAAGGUUGAGGAAGAGGAGUGGUGGCUAUUGAUGGAAAGAUGACUCAGUAUCCGCUUUAAAAAACUCUCAUCUGGCACUCUGCACCUUUCAGAAGGCUCUCAGACGAACGAGCCGUACUCAGUAUUGCACAAUGGGAAUUGCUCUGAGUGUCCAUUCUGAACGACACCCCGGUCAGCAGAUUUACUAAUGCUCUCUUGAUCUUCGGCCAUUUCAGCGCACCUCUUAACAUAUCACAAUAUUCUCAGUAACUUUAUUAAAUUAUACCAUUGUCAAAUCCUAAGGCAAAAACCAACCCUGGAUAGAGUGCCAGUCCGCCACAGGGUCCACCCAGGCGAGGACAACUCAGAAUCACCGAACAACCUGACAGGCGUUUAUGUGAACUGAAAAAGUGAGUCGGAGAAAACCCACAGAAGUGCAGUGAGAACAUGCAAACUUCACAAGAGAGUCUUAAGAGGCUGCCCUCCUUCACAUGGGCAGUGACAUCCAUGCCAUGCUCUACAGCUCUGUGGUGUGCUGGGGAGGUGACAUCACUUCAAGAGAGGCCCACCGAGUCAACAAGCGCAUUCAGACUCAGUUAUGGGGGAGAGAAGGAAGACAAAUGUGACGGCCAUGAUGAACAAUGCUGCACAUCCUCUCUCUCUGACAAACCAGCAUUGUGGACUUUUAAUUAAUGAAUCAUUCAUCAGAAGUGGGUGAGGAAACAUCAGUGGGGCUGCUAAAUGCCUCCAGCACUACACCUGCAUAAUUUCUCACAGCGACUGCUCUGUUGUUUUCAGCCAAGUCAGAGGUUUUGUCUUCUUUUUUGUAAUUUGUGUGUUUUUGAGGAAGGUUGUAAUAUUUUUACAGUGCAUUCAGGAAACCCCAUCCCUUCCAUCUUAAUAAAAGGAUAAGUGUCUGUGUAUCUGUGGCCAUGUCUCUGAUAUUGAAACA